UCAGACGAUGCGUCAUGCAUAUCAAUAAGCGGAGGAAAAGAAACUAACAAGGAUUCCCUCAGUAACGGCGAGUGAAGCGGGAAGAGCUCAAAUUUGAAAUCUUGAAAGGUCACCUUUCACGAAUUGUAGUUUAAAGAAGUGUUUUCUGUUACGAUCGUAAUAUAAGUUCUUUGGAAUAGGACAUCACAGAGGGUGAGAAUCUCGUCUAUGAUUGCGAUUUGUAGCUUUGUGAUACACUUUCAAAGAGUCGGGUUGUUUGGGAAUGCAGCCCAAAACGGGAGGUAAAUUUCUUCUAAGGCUAAAUAUUGGCGAGAGACCGAUAGCGAACAAGUACCGUGAGGGAAAGAUGAAAAGAACUUUGAAAAGAGAGUUAAAUAGUACGUGAAAUUGUCAAAAGGGAAGCGUUUAACACCAGUGUUGUUUUCUGAAAAUCAACCUCUGUUAGCUUUAUGCAUGUUUGUUUAGACCUAAUCAGCUAUCUUGCAUGUUCUAUUGUUUGCAGUGGUGCACUUUUCAGUUUACAGGUCAACAUCAGUUUUUUUUACCGUAAAAAAGUUAAAGAAAGGUAGCUCAUGGCUCCGGUCGUGAGUGUUAUAGUCUUUUUCCUAUGCGGUAGGAGAGACUGAGGUCUGCAGUGCAGGCUAUUUGGCUAGAUACUCAGGUGCUAUGUGAUACCAUUUCAUAAACAACUUGUUGAUUAUGUUUUGUCUAUUGCAUACUCGCUUGUACUAUCAUACCUACGCUUAGGAUGUUGAAGACUCUACAGAGAUA
rnacentral:rRNA from 1 species